AGAGUUUGAUCAUGGCUCAGAUUGAACGCUGGCGGCAUGCCUUACACAUGCAAGUCGAACGGCAGCACGGACUUCGGUCUGGUGGCGAGUGGCGAACGGGUGAGUAAUAUAUCGGAACGUGCCCAGUCGUGGGGGAUAACGUAGUGAAAAUUACGCUAAUACCGCAUACGAUCUAUGGAUGAAAGCGGGGGAUCGCAAGACCUCGCGCGAUUGGAGCGGCCGAUAUCAGAUUAGGUAGUUGGUGAAGUAAAGGCUCACCAAGCCGACGAUCUGUAGCUGGUCUGAGAGGACGACCAGCCACACUGGAACUGAGACACGGUCCAGACUCCUACGGGAGGCAGCAGUGGGGAAUUUUGGACAAUGGACGCAAGUCUGAUCCAGCCAUUCCGCGUGCAGGACGAAGGCCUUCGGGUUGUAAACUGCUUUUGUACAGAACGAAAAGGUCUCUAUUAAUACUAGGGGCUCAUGACGGUACUGUAAGAAUAAGCACCGGCUAACUACGUGCCAGCAGCCGCGGUAAUACGUAGGGUGCAAGCGUUAAUCGGAAUUACUGGGCGUAAAGCGUGCGCAGGCGGUUAUAUAAGACAGAUGUGAAAUCCCCGGGCUCAACCUGGGAACUGCAUUUGUGACUGUAUAGCUGGAGUGCGGCAGAGGGGGAUGGAAUUCCGCGUGUAGCAGUGAAAUGCGUAGAGAUGUGGAGGAACACCAAUGGCGAAGGCAGCCCCCUGGGUCGAUACUGACGCUCAUGCACGAAAGCGUGGGUAGCAAACAGGAUUAGAUACCCUGGUAGUCCACGCCCUAAACGAUGUCAACUAGGUGUUGGGUGGGUAAAACCAUUUAGUACCGGAGCUAACGCGUGAAGUUGACCGCCUGGGGAGUACGGCCGCAAGGUUAAAACUCAAAGGAAUUGACGGGGACCCGCACAAGCGGUGGAUGAUGUGGAUUAAUUCGAUGCAACGCGAAAAACCUUACC
rnacentral:rRNA from 1 species